ACGAACGCUGGCGGCACGCUUAACACAUGCAAGUCGAACGAGAGAAGAGAAGCUUGCUUUUCUGAUCUAGUGGCGGACGGGUGAGUAACACGUGAGCAAUCUGCCUUUCAGAGGGGGAUACCGAUUGGAAACGAUCGUUAAUACCGCAUAAUAUAAUUGAACCGCAUGAUUUGAUUAUCAAAGAUUUAUCGCUGAAAGAUGAGCUCGCGUCUGAUUAGCUAGUUGGUAAGGUAACGGCUUACCAAGGCGACGAUCAGUAGCCGGACUGAGAGGUUGAUCGGCCACAUUGGGACUGAGACACGGCCCAGACUCCUACGGGAGGCAGCAGUGGGGAAUAUUGCACAAUGGAGGAAACUCUGAUGCAGCGAUGCCGCGUGAGGGAAGAAGGUUUUAGGAUUGUAAACCUCUGUCUUCAGGGACGAAAAAAGACGGUACCUGAGGAGGAAGCUCCGGCUAACUACGUGCCAGCAGCCCCGGUAAUACGUAGGGAGCGAGCGUUGUCCGGAAUUACUGGGUGUAAAGGGAGCGUAGGCGGGAUCGCAAGUCAGAUGUGAAAACUAUGGGCUUAACCCAUAAACUGCAUUUGAAACUGUGGUUCUUGAGUGAAGUAGAGGUAAGCGGAAUUCCUAGUGUAGCGGUGAAAUGCGUAGAUAUUAGGAGGAACAUCAGUGGCGAAGGCGGCUUACUGGGCUUUAACUGACGCUGAGGCUCGAAAGCGUGGGGAGCAAACAGGAUUAGAUACCCUGGUAGUCCACGCCGUAAACGAUGAUUACUAGGUGUGGGGGGACUGACCCCUUCCGUGCCGCAGCAAACGCAAUAAGUAAUCCACCUGGGGAGUACGACCGCAAGGUUGAAACCCAAAGGAAUUGACGGGGGCCCGCACAAGCAGUGGAGUAUGUGGAUUAAUUCGAAGCAACGCGAAGAACCUUACCAGGUCUUGACAUCGUAUGCAUAGCUCAGAGAUGAGUGAAAUCUCUUCGGAGACAUAUAGACAGGUGGUGCAUGGUUGUCGUCAGCUCGUGUCGUGAGAUGUUGGGUUAAGUCCCGCAACGAGCGCAACCCUUACUGUUAGUUGCUACGCAAGAGCACUCUAGCAGGACUGCCGUUGACAAAACGGAGGAAGGUGGGGAUGACGUCAAAUCAUCAUGCCCCUUAUGACCUGGGCCUCACACGUACUACAAUGGCUGUUAACAGAGGGAUGCAAAGCCGCGAGGUGGAGCGAACCCCUAAAAGCAGUCUUAGUUCGGAUUGUAGGCUGCAACCCGCCUACAUGAAGUCGGAAUUGCUAGUAAUCGCAGAUCAGCAUGCUGCGGUGAAUACGUUCCCGGGCCUUGUACACACCGCCCGUCACGCCAUGGGAGUCGGUAACACCCGAAGCCUGUAGUCUAACCGCAAGGAGGACGCAGUCGAAGGUGGGAUUGAUGACUGGGGUG
rnacentral:rRNA from 1 species